rnacentral:rRNA from 1 species
ACCAGACUCCUACGGGAGGCAGCAGUGGGGGAUAUUGCACAAUGGGGGGAACCCUGAUGCAGCGACGCCGCGUGGGUGAAGAAGCGCCUCGGCGCGUAAAGCCCUGUCAGCAGGGAAGAAAAUGACGGUACCUGAAGAAGAAGCCCCGGCUAACUACGUGCCAGCAGCCGCGGUAAUACGUAGGGGGCAAGCGUUAUCCGGAUUUACUGGGUGUAAAGGGGGCGCAGACGGCGAUGCAAGCCAGGAGUGAAAGCCCGGGGCCCAACCCCGGGACUGCUCUUGGAACUGCGUGGCUGGAGUGCAGGAGGGGCAGGCGGAAUUCCUGGUGUAGCGGUGAAAUGCGUAGAUAUCAGGAGGAACACCGGUGGCGAAGGCGGCCUGCUGGACUGCAACUGACGUUGAGGCCCGAAGGCGUGGGGAGCAAACAGGAUUAGAUACCCCUGUA